UGUAAGACAGUGUAAGACUGCGUGUGAGACAAUAUCAAAUAUCAAAGCUGUAAACAUCCAGAACAACUUCAUUUUAUAGCCUAACGUUACAGCUCCAACACAGGUUAAGGGGUCUUAUAAAACAAUCCGAGGCAACCAUGAUUAAAACACAAGGCCCUCUCUCUGUUGGAGUAGCUGUGAGAACUGUGAGAGUCAUGUCCUGUGAUUCUCCACUGCUUUCAACAAGCUGCACCCCAACCUCCACUUCCUGGUGAGGAAAGCCAGCUCGGUGGUGCGUCUGGAGACGGUCAGUCUAGAGUGGGUGGGAGGAAGAUGGGGGCCACGGAACCCCAUCCUUCUCACCCACCUCAUGGGGACCUGUGGCAGCUGGGCAGCUCAUUCAGCCAUCGGCUCAUUGGAGGACGAUAAGGAGAGCAGAGUGAACAUCUACGUCAGCGCUGAAAGCCUGAGAGUGUACGACAACCCGUGGAUGGAGGCCACGUCCCCAAAUACACCACCUGCAGAGGCUCAGCACCCAGCCAUCGUUGAAAAAGUCGAGAAGAGGAAUCCCAUCAGAACUGAGUCAGUGUUUCUCGGCCUGCUGUGUCUUCUCCUCCUGGCCGUAAUUAUUUGUCUCUGGGUCCAAAUGAAUAAAGACAAAACCCUCUGGAGAAGAGAGAGAAACCAGUUUGCUGCGGACAACACCAACCUCAGGGAAAUAAAUGCCAAGUUAACAGCCGAUAACGCUGAACUCACGGGGCACUGCUGACUUCUAGAGAAAGUUUUGCAGACCCCGGCCCCCGGAAAUAUAAACAUCUGGAUGAUUCCUGAUGUGGAAAAGAACUGGAAAUGGUCUCCUGCUGACCAAAGAGAAGCAUCAACAUGUCCUUCACAUCCACCAAAUGAAGACUGCUGUAACUUGUGAUAGAAAGGCAACAUGAUUAAGAUGGAGAUCAGUGGGUUGUUCAAUCACUGUGUUUACUGAAUUUACUGAACACAACCAAUUUCCACAUGCUGUCACUGUUCUAAUUGUGAUGCAUUAUUGCAUUUCUCGUUUAAAUAUAUGUUUAAUAAAUGUU